GAUGAAGAACGUAGCGAAAUGCGAAAAGUAAUGUGAAUUGCAGAAUUCAGUGAAUCAUCGAAUCUUUGAACGCACAUUGCGCCCGCCAGUAUUCUGGCGGGCAGGCCUGUCUGAGCGUCAUUUCAACCCUCACGCCCCUAGGGCGUGGUGUUGGGGAUCGGCCAAGGCCCGCAAGGGACGGCCGGCCCCUAAAUCUAGUGGCGGACCCAUCGUGGCCUCCCCUGCGAAGUAGUAAUAUAUUCCGCAUCGGAUAGCGAUGAGCCCCUGCCGUUAAACCCCCAACUCUUUCAAGGUUGACCUCAGAUCAGGUAGGAAUACCCGCUGAACUUAAGCAUAUCAAUAAGCGGAGGA
rnacentral:misc_RNA from 1 species